GAAGGUACUGUACUGUGGAUAGAAGGUACUGGAGAAUAGAAGGGCUGAGAUAGAAGUACUGUAGAUAGAAGGUACUGUAGAUAGAAGGUACUGUAGAUAGAUAGAAGGUGCUGUAGAUAGAAGGUACUGUAGAUAGAAGGUGCUGUAGAUAGAAGGUACUGUAGAUAGAAGGUACUGUACUGUAGAUAGAA